CUUCUGGCUCGCCUGCCUGCCCAGGGCGUUCACCUCGAGCUUCGCCUCAGCACACCCGCGAGCAUCGCGCUGCGCGAGCCCUCUGCACGCCCACGGAAGAAGCUGCGCACUGACCCAACGGUCAAAGUGAGCGCAACCCCAGGAGAACACUCUAAACGUGCCUUUGCUGUGUGUUCCUUGGCUGCUUCAAUGGAGUCGUCACUGGAGGAAGUUGUUCAUGGUCUUCUACAGCAGACUUACUGACAUCCUGACAUACCUCUGCUGCAGAGUGUUUUGAGGACAUGGACUUCUGGUGAGAGUGGCAGGCACUCCGGUGACCUAUUUGCUGGUGAAGCCUGUGUGAGUUAUUUUGCUCAAACAAAAUUUUAAUGCAUCUGGGAAACAAUCAGAAAAGCCAACAGCAAACUAAGAAGUAUCCGCUUUAGGAAAUCUAUGAACCAGAGGUUCUUUGUCUCGUAUCCAUGAAGAUUUAGGCAGACAGAUGAGGAAUUGUGACAAAUGUGAAAUGUCUGUUAAGCAAAAGAAAAAUCAAAAGUGAAAGAGAGGUGUCCAGAGCUAUGGCACAGUGGGUUAAGCCACUGCCUGCAGUGCCGCCAUCAUCCCAUAUGGGCGCCGGUUCAAGUUUCAGCUAUGCCACUUUCUAUCCAGUUCCUUGCUAAGGCGCCUGGAAAAGCAGCAGAAGAUGACUCAAGUGCUUGGGCCCUGCACCCAAGUGGCAGACCCAGAAGAAGCUCCUGUCUCCUGGCUUCAGUCUGGUCCAGCCCCAGCCGUUGCAGCCAUUUGGGGAGUGAACCAGUGAUGGACGAACUCUCUCACUGUCUCCCCCUCUGUCACCAUAACUAGGCCUUUCAAAUAAAUAAAAUAAAUUUUUAAAAAAACAAAGGUGAAAGAGAAAGCUCCAGGCAGUGCCUGGAGGGGUCCCAGAAGGAGUUGCCAGGUGGAUAAAUAUGCAAAUAAGGUGAAAAUCUACGAGUCAUUCCAGGAGUGAUUUCCAGAAUCAUCAUUUUUGCAUAGAAAUACCAAGGAGCUGCUCAGAUGUCAGAGCCAGAGUGCCGUGUUUUACCUAUGGAAGUUGAUAGAGUGCUCAGGCAGGUGCACUGUGGUGCAGACAUUUGGCUGAUGGUACCUUGUCUGGUGAUCCCAGUGAUUGCAUUAUUCUUCCUUGGAGCCCUUGUCCCUCUCUACGUGCUGGUAGAAUCUGUUUUCUGUCUCUAUUAAAAUUAAAACAAGGAGUCAGAUGAUUGUUUGUAUAUCUAUGCUCAUAGUAGCAUUAUUCACAAUAGCCAAAAUAGUAUCCAUUCACAAAUUAAUGGAUAAACAAAACAGAGUAAACACAUAGGUCUUAGUGUAUUUAUUGUUGGUAUAACAGAAUACCUAUGACCAAAACAUUUAUGGGAAAAACAGGUUUAUUUGGCCCAUGGCUGAGGAGGUGAUGAAGUCCAAGAGCUGCUCAGCUUCUGGCCAGGCCUCUUGCUGCUUCAGCUCAUGGCAGAAAGUGGACAGAAAGUGGGUGGGUGAGGCUGGCACUGUGACACAGUGUGUUAACACCCUGGCCUGGAGCACUGGCAUCCCAUAUGGGUGCCAAUUCAAGACCUGGCUGCUCCGCUUCCAAUCCAGCUAGCUGCUAUGGCUUGGGAAAGCAGUAGAAGAUGGCCCAAGUGCUUGGGCCCCUGAC